CGAACGAAGAACCCUUUCUGGGUAACCAAAGAGGAAUUCUUAGUGGCGAACGGGUGAGUAACACGUGAGAAACCUGCCCCGGAGACCGGGAUAGCCCAGGGAAACCUGGAUUAAUACCGGAUACCCUCGAAUGAUCGCAUGGUCGAUCGAGGAAAGAGUCCGCUGCUCCGGGAUGGUCUCGCGACCUAUCAGCUUGUUGGUGAGGUAACGGCUCACCAAGGCAACGACGGGUAGCUGGUCUGAGAGGACGAUCAGCCACACUGGGACUGAGACACGGCCCAGACUCCUACGGGAGGCAGCAGCAGGGAAUAUUGCACAAUGGGCGAAAGCCUGAUGCAGCGACGCCGCGUGGGGGAUGAAUGCCUUCGGGUUGUAAACCCCUUUCAGGAGGGACGAAGCGAAAGUGACGGUACCUCCAGAAGAAGCCCCGGCCAACUACGUGCCAGCAGCCGCGGUAAUACGUAGGGGGCGAGCGUUGUCCGGAUUUAUUGGGCGUAAAGAGCUCGUAGGCGGCUCAACAAGUCGGCCGUGAAAACCCGAGGCUCAACCUCGGGACGCCGGUCGAAACUGUUGUGGCUAGGGUCCGGUAGAGGAGAGUGGAAUUCCCGGUGUAGCGGUGAAAUGCGCAGAUAU
rnacentral:rRNA from 1 species